CAUAAAGUGAUCUAGGGUUCCGGCAGUUAUUUUUUAAAGCCUGCGUCUGAGACCGAGAGUUCACGGCUAGGUUUUCCAAAACCAAAGCUACACGGAGGGAUAAAAGCCCGGGAGGU
rnacentral:sRNA from 2 species